rnacentral:rRNA from 1 species
CCUACGGGAGGCUGCAGUGAGGAAUAUUGGUCAAUGGACGAGAGUCUGAACCAGCCAAGUAGCGUGAAGGAUGACUGCCCUAUGGGUUGUAAACUUCUUUUAUAUGGGAAUAAAAUGUUCCACGUGUGGGCUUUUGUAUGUACCAUAUGAAUAAGGAUCGGCUAACUCCGUGCCAGCAGCCGCGGUAAUACGGAGGAUCCGAGCGUUAUCCGGAUUUAUUGGGUUUAAAGGGAGCGUAGGUGGAUUGUUAAGGCAGUUGUGAAAGUUUGCGGCUCAACCGUAAAAUUGCAGUUGAAACUGGCAGUCUUGAGUACAGUAGAGGUGUGCGGAAUUCGUGGUGUAGCGGUGAAAUGCUUAGAUAUCACGAAGAACUCCGAUUGCGAAGGCAGCUCACUGGACUGCAACUGACACUGAGGCUCGAAAGUGUGGGUAUCAAACAGGAUUAGAUACCCGAGUAGUC